rnacentral:tRNA from 1 species
UGCGGGUCGCGUCGGCCUUCGCCCGCGCGUGAGCGACGCGCCGACACCUGACCUGGGUGGCGUCGCCGGCUCCGUGGCCGGCGCCCGCGG